rnacentral:rRNA from 1 species
AUACGGAGGGUGCGAGCGUUAUUCGGAAUUACUGGGCGUAAAGCGCGUGCAGGCGGCCUGUCAAGUCUGAUGUGAAAGCCCUGGGCUUAACCCGGGAAGUGCAUUGGAUACUGAUAGGCUUGAGUACUGGAGAGGAUGGGGGAAUUCCCGGUGUAGAGGUGAAAUUCGUAGAGAUCGGGAGGAAUACCAGUGGCGAAGGCGCCCAUCUGGACGGCUACUGACGCUGAGACGCGAAAGCGUGGGGAGC